rnacentral:rRNA from 1 species
CGGACGGGUGAGUAACACGUGGGUAACCUGCCCCCAAGUGGGGGAUAACAUUUGGAAACAGAUGCUAAUACCGCAUAGAUCCAAGAACCGCAUGGUUCUUGGCUGAAAGAUGGCGUAAGCUAUCGCUUUUGGAUGGACCCGCGGCGUAUUAGCUAGUUGGUGAGGUAACGGCUCACCAAGGCGAUGAUACGUAGCCGAACUGAGAGGUUGAUCGGCCACAUUGGGACUGAGACACGGCCCAAACUCCUACGGGAGGCAGCAGUAGGGAAUCUUCCACAAUGGACGCAAGUCUGAUGGAGCAACGCCGCGUGAGUGAAGAAGGCUUUCGGGUCGUAAAACUCUGUUGUUGGAGAAGAAUGGUCGGCAGAGUAACUGUUGUCGGCGUGACGGUAUCCAACCAGAAAGCCACGGCUAACUACGUGCCAGCAGCCGCGGUAAUACGUAGGUGGCAAGCGUUAUCCGGAUUUAUUGGGCGUAAAGCGAGCGCAGGCGGUUUUUUAAGUCUGAUGUGAAAGCCCUCGGCUUAACCGAGGAAGCGCAUCGGAAACUGGGAAACUUGAGUGCAGAAGAGGACAGUGGAACUCCAUGUGUAGCGGUGAAAUGCGUAGAUAUAUGGAAGAACACCAGUGGCGAAGGCGGCUGUCUGGUCUGUAACUGACGCUGAGGCU